UGAAAGGAGUUCUUAAUUGUCUCUUAGGUAGGUGGUCUAGGGGAUGUGGUGACAGGCCUUGGCAAGGCUCUGCAGAAGAAAGGACACCUUGUGGAAAUUGUUCUUCCUAAAUAUGAUUGUAUGCAGUAUGAGUCAAUUAAAGACAUGAAGGCCUUAGAUGUGGUUGUUGAGUCAUACUUUGAUGGUCGGUUAUACAAAAAUAAGAUCUGGACGGGCACUGUUGAAGGCCUUCCUGUCUAUUUCAUUGAGCCUCAGCAUCCUGGUAAAUUCUUUGGGAGAGGACAACUUUAUGGGGAGCACGAUGAUUUCAAACGAUUUUCAUUCUUUAGCAGGGUAGCACUU